CGGACGGGUGAGUAACACGUGGAUAACCUACCUAUAAGACUGGGAUAACUUCGGGAAACCGGAGCUAAUACCGGAUAAUAUAUUGAACCGCAUGGUUCAAUAGUGAAAGACGGUUUUGCUGUCACUUAUAGAUGGAUCCGCGCCGCAUUAGCUAGUUGGUAAGGUAACGGCUUACCAAGGCGACGAUGCGUGGCCGACCUGAGAGGGUGAUCGGCCACACUGGAACUGAGACACGGUCCAG
rnacentral:rRNA from 1 species